rnacentral:rRNA from 1 species
UACAGAGGUGGCAAGCGUUGUUCGGAAUUACUGGGCUUAAAGGGUGCGUAGGCGGCGCGACAAGUUGGGUGUGAAAUCCCUCGGCUCAACCGAGGAACUGCGCUCAAUACUGUCGUGCUCGAGGGAGACAGAGGUGAGCGGAACUUAGGGUGGAGCGGUGAAAUGCGUUGAUAUCCUAAGGAACACCGGUAGCGAAAGCGGCUCACUGGGUCUUUUCUGACGCUGAGGCACGAAAGCUAGGGUAGCGAACGGG